rnacentral:lncRNA from 1 species
CUAGUCCGGGCCUUGGGGGAGUCCCCGGAGUCCCCGUGGCUUUCCAGCUCCAGGCUCGGGAGAGGGUGACCUUGGAGCCGGGAUUUCACUUCUACAGCGCUGUGGUGCCGGGGGGACAGGGAGAAGGGCUCCCUGGCCCCCAGUUCACGAGGAGAAGGGGCCUUGACCGGUCAGGACCACCACCCUACGACGCCGCUCAGCUCUGGGCGAUUCUCUCCUCCCUUGCUGAAGCAGGCAUUGAGAGCCUGCGUUCCUCCCGCUCUGUUUCCGUUUAGGUAAAAUGGAUAGAAUAAUAGUACUUACCUCAAAGGAUUGUUGAAGAGAAUCAACAAGAUGAUAUCCCUGAAGCACUGGGAAUAGUGUCUGGCACACAGCACUCUCCCAGGAGCACACCGCGGCGCUAGAGAAGACCAGGAAAAAGGACCUGAGCCAGCUUGCCGUCUUAACAAAAAUUUCAAACUUUGCAAAGCGGUAUACCUUCUUAUUCUCCAGUUCAGUAUUGCCAGUGAAGUCAUACUGAACGCAGACAAGGAAAAGAAAGAAAAAGAAACUCAAUGAGAUAUGUUGUCAUCUUCCCUGUUUUAUGGAUGAAGUUCUAAGUAGAGGUUCGGAGAAGGAGCCCAACUGUUGUAUUUAGACUAAGAUGCUCAAAUAUUCUGCUAAAUGAAGCCACAGCUGCUCUGUCAGAAACAUCACGUUAAAAUGUGAAACGAUUUGGCAAUGUUCUGAGGACGACUUUCAUUUCAUGAGCUACAAAACCACUCUGGAUGUCAUGAGGACUUUGAGAAGCUCUUGCAGUUCUUGAAGAGGGGCCAGGAAAGCAGAGGCCAGCUGCAGCUGAGCAAAGUAGA